AUUGAACGCUGGCGGCAGGCCUAACACAUGCAAGUCGAGCGAGAAAGGUCUUCGGACUGAGUACAGCGGCGGACGGGUGAGUAAUGCGCAGGAAUCUACCUGGUAGUGGGGGAUAACUCGGGGAAACUCGAACUAAUACCGCAUACGCCCUACGGGGGAAAGCGGGGGACCUUCGGGCCUCGCGCUAUCAGAUGAGCCUGCGUAGGAUUAGCUUGUUGGUGAGGUAAAGGCUCACCAAGGCGACGAUCCUUAGCUGGUCUGAGAGGAUGAUCAGCCACACUGGAACUGAGACACGGUCCAGACUCCUACGGGAGGCAGCAGUGGGGAAUAUUGCGCAAUGGGCGAAAGCCUGACGCAGCCAUGCCGCGUGUGUGAAGAAGGCCCUUGGGUUGUAAAGCACUUUCAAUUGGGAAGAAAGGUUGCGUGUUAAUAGCACGUAGCUGUGACGUUACCUUUAGAAGAAGCACCGGCUAACUCCGUGCCAGCAGCCG
rnacentral:rRNA from 1 species